AGCGAACGCUGGCGGCAGGCCUAACACAUGCAAGUCGAACGAACUCUUCGGAGUUAGUGGCGGACGGGUGAGUAACACGUCGGAACGUGCCUUUAGGUUCGGAAUAACUCAGGGAAACUUGUGCUAAUACCGAAUGUGCCCUUCGGCGGAAAGAUUUAUCGCCGUUAGAGCGUCCCGCGUCUGAUUAGCUAGUUGGUGAGGUAAAGGCUCACCAAGGCGACGAUCAGUAGCUGGUCUGAGAGGAUGACCAGCCACACUGGGACUGAGACACGGCCCAAACUCCUACGGGAGGCAGCAGCGGGGAAUCUUGCGCAAUGGGCGAAAGCCUGACGCAGCCAUGCCGCGUGGAUGAUGAAGGUCUUAGGAUUGUAAAAUCCUUUCACCGGUGAAGAUAAUGACUGUAGCCGGAGAAGAAGCCCCGGCUAACUUCGUGCCAGCCGCCGCGGUAACAC
rnacentral:rRNA from 1 species